CCUACGGGAGGCAGCAGUGGGGAAUAUUGCACAAUGGGCGCAAGCCUGAUGCAGCAACGCCGCGUGRGGGACGAAGGCCUUCGGGUUGUAAACCUCUUUUAGCAGGGAAGAAGCGAAAGUGACGGUACCUGCAGAAAAAGCACCGGCUAACUACGUGCCAGCAGCCGCGGUAAUACGUAGGGUGCAAGCGUUGUCCGGAAUUAUUGGGCGUAAAGAGCUCGUAGGCGGUGUGUCACGUCUGCUGUGAAAAUYCAAGGCUCAACCUBCRRCUUGCAGUGGGUACGGGCACACUAGAGUGCGGUAGGGGAGAUUGGAAUUCCUGGUGUAGCGGUGGAAUGCGCAGAUAUCAGGAGGAACACCAAUGGCGAAGGCAGWUCUCUGGGCCGUWACUGACGCUGAGGAGCGAAAGCGUGGGGAGCGAACAGGAUUAGAUAUCCCUGGUAGUCCACGCCGUAAACGGUGGGAAUCUAGAUGUGGGGUCCRUUACCACGUAUUCCGUGUCGCAGCUAAC
rnacentral:rRNA from 1 species